rnacentral:rRNA from 1 species
AGUGAACGCUGGCGGUAGGCCUAACACAUGCAAGUCGAACGGCAGCACAGUAAGAGCUUGCUCUUACGGGUGGCGAGUGGCGGACGGGUGAGGAAUACAUCGGAAUCUACUUUUUCGUGGGGGAUAACGUCGGGAAACUUACGCUAAUACCGCAUACGACCUACGGGUGAAAGCAGGGGAUCUUCGGACCUUGCGCGAUUGAAUGAGCCGAUAUCGGAUUAGCUAGUUGGCGGGGUAAAGGCCCACCAAGGCGACGAUCCGUAGCUGGUCUGAGAGGAUGAUCAGCCACACUGGAACUGAGACACGGUCCAGACUCCUACGGGAGGAAGCGGUGGGGAAUAUUGGACAAUGGGCGCAAGCCUGAUCCAGCCAUACCGCGUGGGUGAAGAAGGCCUUCGGGUUGUAAAGCCCUUUUGUUGGGAAAGAAAAGCAGCAGGUUAACACCCCGCUGUUCUGACGGUACCCAAAGAAUAAGCACCGGCUAACUUCGU